rnacentral:rRNA from 1 species
UUCCGGUUGAUCCUGCCGGACCCGACUGCUAUUUGGGUGAGGAUAAGCCAUGCGAGUUGAAUGGGAAACCUAAAAAUCCCAUGGCAAACUGCUCAGUAACACAUGAUCAACUUACCCUAUAGAGAAAAAUAACCUCGGGAAACUGAGGAUAAUGUUCCAUAGUUGAAUCGGCUUGGAAAAGUUUUUCAAUAAAAGGGAUAAGGAAAAUGGUCCUUAUCUGCUAUAGGAUAGGAUCGUGCUCGAUUAUGGUUGUUGGUGAGGUAAAGGCUCACCAAGCCGAUAAUCGAUAGGGGCCGUGAGAGCGGGAGCCCCGAGAUGGGUACUGAGACAACGACCCAGGCCUUACGAGGCGCAGCAGGCGCGAAACCUCCGCAAUACACGAAAGUGUGACGGGGUUACCCAAAGUGUUCUAUUUAGAACUGUGGUAGGUGAGUAAUGUCCCCUACUAGAAAGGAGAGGGCAAGGCUGGUGCCAGCCGCCGCGGUAAAACCAGCUCUUCAAGUGGUCGGGAUAAUUAUUGGGCUUAAAGUGUCCGUAGCCGGUUUAGUAAGUUCCUGGUAAAAUCGGGUAGCUUAACUAUCUAUAUGCUAGGAAUACUACUAUACUAGAGGGCGGGAGAGGUCUGAGGUACUACAGGGGUAGGGGUGAAAUCUUAUAAUCCUUGUAGGACCACCAGUGGCGAAGGCGUCAGACUGGAACGCGCCUGACGGUGAGGGACGAAAGCCAGGGGAGCGAACCGGAUUAGAUACCCGGGUAGUCCUGGCCGUAAACGAUGCAUACUAUGUGAUGGCACGGGCCAUGAGCCGUGUCAGUGCCGUAGGGAAACCGUUAAGUGUGCCGCCUGGGAAGUACGGUCGCAAGGCUAAACUUAAGGAAUUGGCGGGGAGCACCACAAGGGUGAAGCCUGCGUUCAUUGAAUCACGCCGG